rnacentral:lncRNA from 1 species
AAAAAAAAAAAAAAGCUAUCUGUGAGGUAACAAUCUAAAUAUGUUUGAGCUAGUGCAUCAGUAAGUUAACUCCUUACAUCUGUUAAUUCAGCAAGCACUAACAAGUAAUGGAGAUUAAAAAAAAAAAAAAGGAAUGAGCCACAGCUUUGCCAUCAAAGACUUCAGCGUCUCUUAGGGGAAACAGAUAACAAAGAUUUCUAACAAGAGGGAGAAUAUCUUUCCGAUUCGACUCCCGUAUGUCAAGAGACUCAGAUGUGACUCUCAUAUUUGCCUGCCAGGAGGGGGAAAAAGAAAUACACUGUCCAGGAGUAACUCCUUAGUGGGUACCCACCAGAAGUGGUCUCCAAACAAGGCAAGAAUCUGUGUAUUCCUCACACAAUUCAAUCCAAGCCAUUCCGUAUGUACACACUGAGGUUUGCUUUUGGGUAAAUGGAAAUAACUUUUGAGUUUCACCACAAGAAAGCUAUAUGGUAAGCAAGUGUUGGGAAAUCUUAACAGUGGGUGACAUUAAGCUAUAGGGUUGCAUUUUCAAGGGAACCAACGUCUUAUCCUGUGGCAAGCAACUCCUGACUGGAUAAACAGCUUUUCGAUGUCAUUGAUAGGCUCAAGCUGAGGCGCAGAGGGAGUAUGGCCCAAGGGCAUAUAGCUGGUAAGUGGUGGCUGGACUGCAAUCCCAAGUAGACAGUAUUACCUUAGACUGAAACACAAACACUGCAAAGUCCAUUCUCCCUUGGCCACGUUUCACAAAAGAGGAAAUGGGACAUGAAAAUUAGGAGACUUACACAAGAUUGCACAGCUAGUGCAUCAGAGGCUGACAUUUGGAAGCCCACAUGAUGAGUACAUGUGUAAUCUCAUUUACCACAGGCAACUCUUAGAUUCUGUUAUUCCCAUUUUAAGAAUGAGGAAACUAGUCUGGGCGUAGUGGCUCUUGUCUGUACUAUCAGCACUUUGGAAGACCAAGGCAGGAGGACUGCAUGAGCCCAGGAGUUCAAGGCUGGUCUUAAACGUAGUGAGACCCUUUCUCUACAAAAAAUUAAAAACUUAGUCCAUGCAUGGUGUUGGGUGACUGUAGUUUGAGCUAUUUGGGGAGACUGAGGCAGGAGAUCACUUGAGCCCAGGAGUUUGAGGCUGUCACAAGCUAUGGUGGUACCACUGUGCUGCAGCCUGGGCAACAGAGCGAGACCCUGUCUCAAAAAAGAA